UACAGGGGGGGCAAGCGUUGUUCGGAAUUACUGGGCGUAAAGGGUUUGUAGGUGGCUUGUUAAGUCAGACGUGAAAUCCCUCAGCUUAACUGGGGAACUGCGUCUGAUACUGAUGAGCUUGAGUGCAGGAGAGGAACGCGGAAUUCCGGGUGUAGCGGUGAAAUGCGUAGAUAUCUGGAGGAACACCGGUGGCGAAGGCGGCGUUCUGGACUGCAACUGACGCUGAGGCGCGACGGCGUGGGGAGCAAACCGG
rnacentral:rRNA from 1 species